rnacentral:rRNA from 1 species
GGCUACAUGAAGCUGGAAUCGCUAGUAAUCGCAGAUCAGAAUGCUGCGGUGAAUACGUUCCCGGGUCUUGUACACACCGCCCGUCACACCAUGGGAGCCGGGAAUGCCCGAAGUCGGUGACCCAACCGUAAGGAGGGAGCCGCCGAAGGCAGGCCUGGUAACUGGGGUGAAGUCGUAACAAGGUAUC